ensembl:lncRNA
GGUGUAUAAUAUUUAUAAAGAUUUUUUAGUUGUUUUCUUCCUUUUUAUCCCCUUCAUCAAAUUCACAGGCACUAGCUAUGAUUUCUUACCCCUCUUCUGACUCCACAGCUUUCAGAUUGAGAAAUCUAUGAAUCAGAAGCCCUUCUGCCUAAUUUUCCACAGGCUCACAGUCUACUUCUGGCAGUCCCAGGGGAAGUGAGAGAGAGAAUAAAAUUUCAAAGACCGAUCAAGAAGAGAAAACUCAGACCCUCAAAAGCUGUCAGUUUUUUCCAUAAAGAUGGAGCCAGAACUAAAACUCAGAUCUCCUAUUCUCAGCCCAGUCUUUCCCGG